UACGUAGGGGGCAAGCGUUGUCCGGAUUCAUUGGGCGUAAAGAGCGUGUAGGCGGCCAGGUAGGUCGGUUGUGAAAACUGGAGGCUCAACCUUCAGAGGUCGACCGAAACCAUCUGGCUAGAGUCCGGGAGAGGAGCGUGGAAUUCCCAGUGUAGAGGUGAAAUUCGUAGAUAUUGGGAAGAACACCGGUGGCGAAGGCGGCGCUCUGGACCGAGACUGACGCUGAGGCGCGAAAGCGUGGGGAGCAAACAGG
rnacentral:rRNA from 1 species